GGUCACGUGCCAGCGACCGGGAAUCCUCUGGAAUGCUACAAGCGGCCCACGUGUGUUGUACAGGCCUGGACCAGGCUGUCAGUCCGUCUGUCUGGACUCUCAGCUCAGGACCACAUCCCUGAGGAUCAAGAAGAAAGUCGCCGAGGUCUGCCAUGGAAGAAGGAAGAAAGAACUCAGCCACUUCAUCCAGAACUAUAGCAAGGCAGUAUCAUCAGUGCAGGAAACAGUUCACCUGAAGGAAGGCAUCAAGCAAGUCACAAAAUGGAAGCCUUGAACUUGAUAAGCUGGCUGUUCAGCAGAGGUAUUUCCUGUCUCUCCAGGUGUACUGUUCCUACUCAGUA